GGGGCAGUGGAAGGAUUUGACUGCUUGCAACCACGAUAAAAAAUGCUAAAUACAGCACA
rnacentral:ncRNA from 1 species